ACCACCUGAUCCCAUCCCGAACUCAGCAGUGAAACGAUGCAUCGCCGAUGGUAGUGUGGGGCUUCCCCAUGUGAGAGUAGGUCAUCGUCAAGA
rnacentral:rRNA from 1 species